GAUGAACGCUGGCGGUGCGCCUAACACAUGCAAGUCGAACGUGAUAUAGAGAAUUUAUUUUCUAUUGAAAGUGGCGAACGAGUGAGUAACACGUAGGAAUCUGCCCCGAACUCAGGGAUAACGCGGCGAAAGUCGUGCUAAUACCGGAUAGUCUCGUAAGAGUAAAGCUUUUGCGGUUCGGGAGGAGCCUGCGGCCUAUCAGCUAGUUGGUGAGGUAAAAGCUCACCAAGGCAACGACGGGUAGCUGGUCUGAGAGGAUGACCAGUCACGAUGGAACUGAGACACGGUCCAUACUCCUACGGGAGGCAGCAGUGAGGAAUCUUCCGCAAUGGACGAAAGUCUGACGGAGCGACACCGCGUGAAGGAUGAAGGCCCAUGGGUCGUAAACUUCUUUUCUAGAGGAAGAAGAUCUGACGGUACUCUAGGAAUAAGCCCCGGCUAAUUACG
rnacentral:rRNA from 1 species